GUGGAGGGUGAGAGCCCCGUCCAACUCACACAGGACAUACCCGCACGAGGGCGUUUCAGAUGAGUCGGGUAGCUUGGGAAUGCUGCUCUAAUCGGUGGUAAAUCUCAUCGAAGGCUAAAUAGCGGCUGGAGACCGAUAGCGAACAAGUACCGUGAGGGAAAGAUGACAAGCACUUUGAAAAGAGGGUGAAAAGAGCCUGAAACCGUCACGGGGGAAGCGGAUUGCGUUGGAUUGAUGGGCGCUUGUGUGUUCAGCCUUCGGGUGCAUUGGCACAAGUGCUUAUCCGCUGUGAGUUUUCGGGGGUCGAUUUUGGACCCCUGGGGACUGAGGGCUCCCUUUUUUAGGUGAGGACAGCGGAGUGACGACGCGAUACGACCCGUCUUGAAACACGGACCAAGGAGUCUAGCGCGGGUGCGAGUCGGAGGGUGCAAGCCCGUGGGCGAAGUGAAAGCGAGUUUUAAAAACGAGCAGUUUGGGGCGGCAUAAGAUCGUUGAUCUUAAGACCGACCCGGAGCAGUUGCGCUGGGACCCGAAAGAUGGUGAACUAUGCCGGAGUAGGGCAAAGCCAGAGGAAACUCUGGUGGAGGCUCGUAGCGGUGCUGACGUGCAAAUCGCUCGUCGAACUUGGGUAUAGGGGCGAAAGACUAAUCGAACCAUCUAGUAGCUGGUUCCCUCCGAAGUUUCUCUCAGGAUAGCGGGCCGACAAGUUGUUUUGUGCGGUAAAGCGAAUGAUUAGCGCAUUCGGGGGCGUUUAGCCUUUGGGCGAUUCUCAAACUUUCAAUGCGCAAGGGUGCCGCUGCUUAAUUGAGCGGUACCGGUAAAAACGUCGGCCCUGUGGGCCACUUUUGGUAAGCA
rnacentral:rRNA from 1 species